GACGAACGCUGGCGGCGUGCUUAACACAUGCAAGUCGAACGGAAAGGCCCUGCUUUUGUGGGGUGCUCGAGUGGCGAACGGGUGAGUAACACGUGAGUAACCUGCCCUUGACUUUGGGAUAACUUCAGGAAACUGGGGCUAAUACCGGAUAGGAGCUCCUGCUGCAUGGUGGGGGUUGGAAAGUUUCGGCGGUUGGGGAUGGACUCGCGGCUUAUCAGCUUAUUGGUGGGGUAGUGGCUUACCAAGGCUUUGACGGGUAGCCGGCCUGAGAGGGUGACCGGCCACAUUGGGACUGAGAUACGGCCCAGACUCCUACGGGAGGCAGCAGUGGGGAAUAUUGCACAAUGGGCGGAAGCCUGAUGCAGCAACGCCGCGUGCGGGAUGACGGCCUUCGGGUUGUAAACCGCUUUCGCCUGUGACGAAGCGUGAGUGACGGUAAUGGGAAAAGAAGCACCGGCUAACUACGUG
rnacentral:rRNA from 1 species